rnacentral:rRNA from 1 species
AGAGUUUGAUCAUGGCUCAGGACGAACGCUGGCGGCGCGCCUAACACAUGCAAGUCGAGCGAGAACCUGGGCUUCGGCCCUGGGGAAAGCGGCGAACGGGUGAGUAACACGUGGGUAACCUGCCCUCAGCACCGGGAUAGCCCGGGGAAACCCGGAUUAAUACCGGACAGCCUCACGAGCUUUCGGGCGAGUGAGAAAAGGUGGCUUCGGCUUCCGGCUGAGGAUGGGCCCGCGGCCGAUUAGCUUGUUGGUGAGGUAAUGGCUCACCAAGGCUCCGAUCGGUAGCUGGUCUGAGAGGACGAUCAGCCACACUGGGACUGAGACACGGCCCAGACUCCUACGGGAGGCAGCAGUGGGGAAUCUUGCGCAAUGGGCGAAAGCCUGACGCAGCGACGCCGCGUGCGGGAAGAAGGCCUUCGGGUUGUAAACCGCUUUCAGGAGGGACGAAGCCACUCGGGUUAAUAGCCUAGAGGGUGACGGUACCUCCAGAAGAAGCCCCGGCUAACUACGUGCCAGCAGCCGCGGUA